rnacentral:snoRNA from 1 species
AAACCAUGAUGAGGACACUCUAAGAUGAGGUAUUUGAAAUGUUCCAUACACCUAGAAAAUGAUUCAUUGGGUUACUGGCAAAACUGAAAAAUAUCGUUCCUAAGCUU